UCUCAAUGAGCAGUUUAGACGCGGAGACCUCGAACAAAAUCACACGCCAUUCAAAUUGCACCGCAGCAGACAAACGCUCCUGAAGAGAGUUUUCACGUCCGGUGCUUAACAGCAAGAGAUGGAGGAAGAACUGCGCUAAAUGUAGCCACUUAAGACCGUGAGGAAAGCUGGAGAUUGGAGAAGACACCUUCUGCCCAGCUACAGACUGGCACGGGGGGCCACACCGAUCCCGGUGCUGACGGCUGUCUGGGAUUCUGGCCUGAGGCAGGUCCCGGUGACAGAUUAUUCAAGAAAACAGCCCCUGCUGGCCACAUACUUUACAAGUAAAUUCCUUACCAGGCUCUGCUUCAGAAAAUAUUUUUUUCUGCUGUUUUUGUUAAACCAGUGAGCAGCUGAGAGGAAUUUGUUCCGUGGUUCAUUCUUCAA